GAUGGAUGUUGCUGGAUGGCCAAUGACUUGUAGGGAACGGGAAGACAGUCUAUAGUAGACAUUACAGGUCACUCUGCGGUCGUCUGAUUUUAAACGGAAUACCUUAUCGCUCCAGGAAGCUCAUAACAUGUGAUGAAGGGUUCGCAAAGACUAUGCCUAGAUAAUAAUCGCGUUUCAGUUCCAAAGUGCAAUUAGAUUUGAGCUUCCAUCAUCUGGACUUGUUUAAACAAGAUAUAGAACUGAGUUAUCCCUAUGAAUUGAGGCGCCAUCUAUGUCUUUUCCGCUUUGAGCUCUGAUUCAUACUGGAGUGGUGUGAAGAGAGUCAGUGGGCUGGCUUCAAGUCAAACGUCUGUGUCUUCUAACAUUAUUUGGAUAUCUUGUAUAAUGAUGUUACCAUCUAGGAACAUACAUGAAAAAUCUGUAAUAUGAGCGCUGAUGAAUAUAUCUAUUGAUUGAUUAUUAAAGCUGAUUAUUUUGAUAGUUCCAAAUGCUUCGACGGACUGGACAGAAUUAGAGUCCACCUUGGUUUCCAUAAAGAUGACCAGAGAAGGCUACUCCACUCCAUCUAAUUAAAGGCAUUCAGAUUAAAUUUGAAUGUCCGGCCGCUUGACUGGAUUGGCGGGAAAUCCGGUCAAGCGGCCGGACAUCGCUAAGGGUCAUCGCCGGCCACGGUACUAUCCUUUCUGGGGUAAGCAAGUCCCAUCUUCGGAAGGAGGCUGUCAACCCCACCAUUUCGGUACCCACCAGGGUAGCGAGAACCAACCAUCAUGCCUUAAGUUUCUCAUCCUCGUAUGAGGUCCUCCGGGGGGGGGAGUCACUUAAAGAUGUUGCGAACUGUUUUCCAUAAAUUUGCUACAAGCUGGUGGAACUUCAAAGAAAAUAAAAGCUUUCCCUGCUGAAAUUUAGUUUUUUUGUGUGAAGUCAUUGUUCUUAUAGGCAAAUCAGACUUUUUAUUUUUUAUUUUACAUCCAUUGUUGUUAAAGAACAUAA